AUUGGUUCCGCAUAGCCUGCAUUACCGCCACCUUGUCUCCGUGAUUUUGGAAGCAAGCCAGGAGGUCUCGUGGGGCCUUUGGCGGGGCCUUGGCUGCUCGUGGUAGGCGAAAUACAUUUUCGAUGGGUACCUGUCUGGCUUGCUUGUGAGGUAGAAGUGACUGCAUUAGUCUCCGCAAUGUAUGUGGGAGUUCAGACUCCGGUAUCUCCUCUCCUAUGCCUCGGAUUUUUAUGUUCCGGCAGCGACUCCGAUCCUCUAAGGCUGCUAUACGCUGCUCGUAUGUGGAUUGCUGUAUUUUGAUCUCCUGGACCGUUUGUUGUAGGGCUUGAGUGUGUUGUUUGGUGCACUGGGAGUCUGCCUCCAGUGUGCCCAGCCGGCCCGUUAGGCCUUGUAGGUCCUUGCGUAGUUGGGCCAUGUCGGCCUGUAUGGUUAGUCGGAGAUCUGCUAGGAGGUCUUUCAUGACAGCAACUGUCACUGGUGAGGAGUCUGCUUGCGGGGGUGACUUGCGAGGUGGUAUUUCCUCAUGCGGGUGUUCCAUCUCAGUCUCUGUGGUGAAAUCAUCAGAGAUAUCCGAGCCGUAGUCGUUGUAAGCGGCCAUGUUGGGGCCUUGGGCGCUAAGCGCCUGCUUCCACAUGUCGCCAAUGCUGUGGUGCUGCCGCGGGUUGUCGGGCUUAGAUUUUUUAGUUUUGCGGCCCAUAUCGUUGGUAGAUGCCUACAGGUCGUUUUGGUACCGGUUUCGUUGGGCUGGGUUCGUGUUAGCUGGUCCAAACUACUUUUUUGCAGCGGAGCUCGCUAGGCAUGCAGCCAUUCAGGUCAGUUGCUUGGCUCCGCC